AGAGAUUUAGGAUAAUAUUUAGACCAAAAGCCUUCAAAGCUUUAAGUGGGAGUUAAAAUCUCCUAAUCUCUG
rnacentral:tRNA from 2 species